AGAGUUUGAUCCUGGCUCAGGAUGAACGCUGGCGGCGUGCCUAAUACAUGCAAGUCGAGCGAACGGACGAGAAGCUUGCUUCUCUGAUGUUAGCGGCGGACGGGUGAGUAACACGUGGAUAACCUACCUAUAAGACUGGGAUAACUUCGGGAAACCGGAGCUAAUACCGGAUAAUAUUUUGAACCGCAUGGUUCAAAAGUGAAAGACGGUCUUGCUGUCACUUAUAGAUGGAUCCGCGCUGCAUUAGCUAGUUGGUAAGGUAACGGCUUACCAAGGCAACGAUGCAUAGCCGACCUGAGAGGGUGAUCGGCCACACUGGAACUGAGACACGGUCCAGACUCCUACGGGAGGCAGCAGUAGGGAAUCUUCCGCAAUGGGCGAAAGCCUGACGGAGCAACGCCGCGUGAGUGAUGAAGGUCUUCGGAUCGUAAAACUCUGUUAUUAGGGAAGAACAUAUGUGUAAGUAACUGUGCACAUCUUGACGGUACCUAAUCAGAAAGCCACGGCUAACUACGUGCCAGCAGCCGCGGUAAUACGUAGGUGGCAAGCGUUAUCCGGAAUUAUUGGGCGUAAAGCGCGCGUAGGCGGUUUUUUAAGUCUGAUGUGAAAGCCCACGGCUCAACCGUGGAGGGUCAUUGGAAACUGGAAAACUUGAGUGCAGAAGAGGAAAGUGGAAUUCCAUGUGUAGCGGUGAAAUGCGCAGAGAUGUGGAGGAACACCAGUGGCGAAGGCGACUUUCUGGUCUGUAACUGACGCUGAUGUGCGAAAGCGUGGGGAUCAAACAGGAUUAGAUACCCUGGUAGUCCACGCCGUAAACGAUGAGUGCUAAGUGUUAGGGGGUUUCCGCCCCUUAGUGCUGCAGCUAACGCAUUAAGCACUCCGCCUGGGGAGUACGACCGCAAGGUUGAAACUCAAAGGAAUUGACGGGGACCCGCACAAGCGGUGGAGCAUGUGGUUUAAUUCGAAGCAACGCGAAGAACCUUACCAAAUCUUGACAUCCUUUGACAACUCUAGAGAUAGAGCUUUCCCCUUCGGGGGACAAAGUGACAGGUGGUGCAUGGUUGUCGUCAGCUCGUGUCGUGAGAUGUUGGGUUAAGUCCCGCAACGAGCGCAACCCUUAAGCUUAGUUGCCAUCAUUAAGUUGGGCACUCUAAGUUGACUGCCGGUGACAAACCGGAGGAAGGCGGGGAUGACGUCAAAUCAUCAUGCCCCUUAUGAUUUGGGCUACACACGUGCUACAAUGGACAAUACAAAGGGCAGCGAAACCGCGAGGUCAAGCAAAUCCCAUAAAGUUGUUCUCAGUUCGGAUUGUAGUCUGCAACUCGACUACAUGAAGCUGGAAUCGCUAGUAAUCGUAGAUCAGCAUGCUACGGUGAAUACGUUCCCGGGUCUUGUACACACCGCCCGUCACACCACGAGAGUUUGUAACACCCGAAGCCGGUGGAGUAACCUUUUAGGAGCUAGCCGUCGAAGGUGGGACAAAUGAUUGGGGUGAAGUCGUAACAAGGUAGCCGUAUCGGAAGGUGCGGCUGGAUCACCU
rnacentral:rRNA from 1 species